rnacentral:rRNA from 1 species
CAAGGUGGGGAAUUUUCCGCAAUGGGCGAAAGCCUGACGGAGCAAUGCCGCGUGGAGGUGGAAGGCCUACGGGUCGUCAACUUCUUUUCUCGGAGAAGAAACAAUGACGGUAUCUGAGGAAUAAGCAUCGGCUAACUCUGUGCCAA